rnacentral:rRNA from 1 species
CCCUUAGAUGUCCGGGGCCGCACGCGCGCUACACUGAAGGAAUCAGCGUGGCUUUCUCCCUGACCCGAAAGGGUUGGGAAACCCGUUGAAUCUCCUUCGUGUUAGGGAUUGGGGCUUGAAAUUGUUCCCCAUGAACGAGGAAUUCCCAGUAAGCGCGAGUCAUAAGCUCGCGUUGAUUACGUCCCUGCCCUUUGUACACACCGCCCGUCGCUACUACCGAUUGAACGGUUUAGUGAGGGCCUCGGAUUGGUCUCGGCCCGCUCUUUACCGGGCGGCGCCGUUGGUCGAGAAGACGCUCGAACUUGAUCGUUUAGAGGAAGUAAAAGUCGUAACA